GACGAACGCUGGCGGCGUGCUUAACACAUGCAAGUCGAACGGAAAGGCCCUGCUUUUGUGGGGUGCUCGAGUGGCGAACGGGUGAGUAACACGUGAGUAACCUGCCCUUGACUUUGGGAUAACUUCAGGAAACUGGGGCUAAUACCGGAUAGGAGCUCCUGCUGCAUGGUGGGGGUUGGAAAGUUUCGGCGGUUGGGGAUGGACUCGCGGCUUAUCAGCUUGUUGGUGGGGUAGUGGCUUACCAAGGCUUUGACGGGUAGCCGGCCUGAGAGGGUGACCGGCCACAUUGGGACUGAGAUACGGCCCAGACUCCUACGGGAGGCAGCAGUGGGGAAUAUUGCACAAUGGGCGGAAGCCUGAUGCAGCAACGCCGCGUGCGGGAUGACGGCCUUCGGGUUGUAAACCGCUUUCGCCUGUGACGAAGCGUGAGUGCCGGUAAUGGGUAAAGAAGCACCGGCUAACUACGUGCCAGCAGCCGCGGUGAUACGUAGGGUGCGAGCGUUGUCCGGAUUUAUUGGGCGUAAAGGGCUCGUAGGUGGUCGAUCGCGUCGGAAGUGUAAUCUUGGGGCUUAACCCUGAGCGUGCUUUCGAUACGGGUUGACUUGAGGAAGGUAGGGGAGAAUGGAAUUCCUGGUGGAGCGGUGGAAUGCGCAGAUAUCAGGAGGAACACCAGUGGCGAAGGCGGUUCUCUGGGCCUUUCCUGACGCUGAGGAGCGAAAGCGUGGGGAGCGAACAGGCUUAGAUACCCUGGUAGUCCACGCUGUAAACGGUGGGUACUAGGUGUGGGGUCCAUUCCACGGGUUCCGUGCCGUAGCUAACGCUUUAAGUACCCCGUCUGGGGAGUACGGCCGCAAGGCUAAAACUCAAAGGAAUUGACGGGGCCCCGCACAAGCGGCGGAGCAUGCGGAUUAAUUCGAUGCAACGCGUAGAACCUUACCUGGGUUUGACAUGGAUCGGGAGCGCUCAGAGAUGGGUGUGCCUCUUUUGGGGUCGGUUCACAGGUGGUGCAUGGCUGUCGUCAGCUCGUGUCGUGAGAUGUUGGGUUAAGUCCCGCAACGAGCGCAACCCUUGUUCACUGUUGCCAGCACGUUAUGGUGGGGACUCAGUGGAGACCGCCGGGGUCAACUCGGAGGAAGGUGGGGAUGACGUCAAGUCAUCAUGCCCCUUAUGUCCAGGGCUUCACGCAUGCUACAAUGGCUGGUACAGAGAGUGGCGAGCCUGUGAGGGUGAGCGAAUCUCGGAAAGCCGGUCUCAGUUCGGAUUGGGGUCUGCAACUCGACCUCAUGAAGUCGGAGUCGCUAGUAAUCGCAGAUCAGCAACGCUGCGGUGAAUACGUUCCCGGGGCU
rnacentral:rRNA from 1 species